GGCUUAGCUCAGUUGGUAGAGCACCUGAUUUGUAAUCAGGGGGUCGGGAGUUCGAGUCUCUCAGCCGG
rnacentral:tRNA from 1 species